GAUGAAGAACGUAGCGAAAUGCGAUAAGUAAUGUGAAUUGCAGAAUUCAGUGAAUCAUCGAAUCUUUGAACGCACAUUGCGCCCCUUGGUAUUCCGAGGGGCAUGCCUGUUCGAGCGUCAUUACACCACUCAAGCUAUGCUUGGUAUUGGGCGUCGUCCUUAGUUGGGCGCGCCUUAAAGACCUCGGCGAGGCCACUCCGGCUUUAGGCGUAGUAGAAUUUAUUCGAACGUCUGUCAAAGGAGAGGAACUCUGCCGACUGAAACCUUUAUUUUUCUAGGUUGACCUCGGAUCAGGUAGGGAUACCCGCUGAACUUAAGCAUAUCAAAAGCGGAGGA
rnacentral:misc_RNA from 1 species